rnacentral:piRNA from 1 species
UAGGUUUUAGCUUCUGUGUGGGUUUUAGCCU